GGAGGAAAGGAUGGGGAGGGGCGGGUACAGCUGGAUCUGCCUCUAGAUAGGCAAAGCCUGCUGUCAUUCAGGCAGCUGGGAGUGUCUCAAAAGUAUU